CACCAUCUGCAUCUGCUAUAUGUUUUUUUCUUAUCUUUCUCCUGCAUCCAGCGCCUCAUGCCCUAUUCCAUCUAGCUCCUAGUCUCGAAGUCGACUGGUCUUGCCUGCUCCUCCUCUGUUGUGUCUGACCGACGUUGUUUCCUGCUUUCCUCUUCUUCCCAUCGAUUCAAGCUUUUAUAGCUCCCAAAACUGCUGCUUGUGCUAGUGUGCUUCGCCGCCAUUGCCUCUUGUGUUAAGCUGAGUUUUUGGAGCUACCAAUAUGUGACUUAAGCUGAUCGCAAAUUCGAUAAGCAACUUUAGUUUUAUUACAGCUUAGCUUCUAAUUCUGAAGCAGGAUUUUCUUAAUUUUCUGCUGGUUUUUCUUGUUGGUCUCAUUUUCAGGGGAAUUGAAGAAUCAUAUUCCAAUGAAGAUGUUUCUGUUUAUUUGGUGGAGACUCCUGCUUGCAGGCAAACGAGAGAGCAAAUCCAUGAAUUUAUGGAGAAGUAUAAGACAUACAAACUUGCAAAAGCUGAGAUCCUCAAUGUCAUCAACGUUGCACCUCGUGAAUUAGUUGAAAUUGACCCGGUAGUUUUAUUAUUAAUUCAUCUUUCUCUUUCAUUAAUUAAUUCAUUCAUUCCUUCUUUCUUUCUUUGAAUUGUCCUUACAGAAAUCUUGGCUUAGGAGUGACACUUUCUAUGCUAUUUUUCUCAAUUUGUGAAUGUUCUUUUA